GCGGGCGUAGCAAUACGUCAGCGGCAGACGGGUGAGUAACGCGUGGGAACAUACCUUUUGGUUCGGAACAACACAGGGAAACUUAUGCUAAUACCGAAUGUGCCCUUCGGGGGAAAGAUUUAUCGCCUUUAGAGCGGCCCGCGUCUGAUUAGCUAGUUGGUGAGGUAAAGGCUCACCAAGGCUACGAUCAGUAUCUGGUCUGAGAGGAUGACCAGCCACAUUGGGACUGAGACACGGCCCAAACUCCUACGGGAGGCAGCAGUGGGGAAUCUUGCGCAAUGGGCGAAAGCCUGACGCAGCCAUACCGCGUGGAUGAUGAAGGUCUUAGGAUUGUAAAAUCCUUUCACCGGUGAAGAUAAUGACUGUAGCCGGAGAAGAAGCCCCGGCUAACUUCGUGCCAGCAGCCGCGGUAAUAC
rnacentral:rRNA from 1 species